AGAGUUUGAUCCUGGCUCAGAACGAACGCUGGCGGCGUGCCUAACACAUGCAAGUCGAGCGAGAAAGCCCGCAAGGGUGAGUAAAGCGGCGCACGGGUGCGUAACACGUGGGUAAUCUGCCCUGGAGUCCGGAACAACUCGCCGAAAGGCGAGCUAAUGCCGGAUAAGACCACGGGGGCUUCGGCUCCUGAGGGAAAAGGUGGCCUCUGUACACAAGCUAUCGCUCUAGGAUGAGCCCGCGGCCCAUCAGCUAGUUGGCGGGGUAAUGGCCCACCAAGGCAACGACGGGUAGCUGGUCUGAGAGGACGAUCAGCCACACUGGAACUGAGACACGGUCCAGACUCCUACGGGAGGCAGCAGUGGGGAAUCUUGCGCAAUGGGCGAAAGCCUGACGCAGCAACGCCGCGUGUGUGAUGAAGGUCUUCGGAUCGUAAAGCACUGUCGCGAGGGACGAAUAAGGCCUUGGCUAACAUCCAGGGACGAUGACGGUACCUCGAGAGGAAGCACCGGCUAACUCUGUGCCAGCAGCCGCGGUAAUACAGAGGGUGCGAGCGUUGUUCGGAAUUAUUGGGCGUAAAGCGCGUGUAGGCGGCUUAGUAAGUUGGGUGUGAAAGCCCUCGGCUUAACCGAGGAAGUGCGCCCAAAACUGCUUGGCUUGAGUACCGGAGAGGGUGGCGGAAUUCCCGGUGUAGAGGUGAAAUUCGUAGAUAUCGGGAGGAACACCAGCGGCGAAGGCGGCCACCUGGACGGAUACUGACGCUGAGACGCGAAAGCGUGGGGAGCAAACAGGAUUAGAUACCCUGGUAGUCCACGCUGUAAACGAUGAGCGCUAGGUGUUGCGGGUGUUGACCCCUGCAGUGCCGAAGCUAACGCAUUAAGCGCUCCGCCUGGGAAGUACGGCCGCAAGGCUAAAACUCAAAGGAAUUGACGG
rnacentral:rRNA from 1 species